rnacentral:rRNA from 1 species
AUUGAACGCUGGCGGCAGGCCUAACACAUGCAAGUCGAGCGAGCGGCGGACGGGUGAGUAAUUUCUGGGCACCUGCCUGAUGGAGGGGGAUAACUACUGGAAACGGUAGCUAAUAACGCAUACCAUCAGAUGUGCCCAGAUGGGAUGAGCUAGUGGGUUGGGUAAUGGCUCACCUAGGCGACGAUCCCUAGCUGGUCUGAGAGGAUGACCAGCCACACUGGAACUGAGACACGGUCCAGACUCCUACGGUAGGCAGAAGUGGGGAAUAUUGCACAAUGGGCGCAAGCCUGAUGCAGCCAUGCCGCGUGUAUGAAGAAGGCCUUCGGGUUGUAAAGUACUUUCAGCGAGGAGGCGUUACUCGCAGAAGAAGCACCGGCUAACUCCGUGCCAGCAGCCGCGGUAAUUC